rnacentral:lncRNA from 1 species
AUUUAUUUAUUAGUAAGUUCCAACAGGACACCUUUACUAUAAUGUUGUCCAAGCAUAGCACAGAGCAUGGGAUGACUGGAUGAUGGUGAGCGGAAUCAUGCCCACCCGCACAGACAAAAUGGUCCUAAUAAAAAAAGAAAUAAAAAAACUAAUAUCUAUCCUAAGAAAUUAACUUUUGAUAAAAAUAUGUGUCUAUAAAUUUUGAAUAUCAUUUCAAGGUAUAACGGCAGGAUAUUUCAGACGAAUAGUGCCAUGGUCUGGUCCCCUUCCCCUCCGAUGCUUUAGGCUAUACCUGGAAGCUCCCAGUGGAAUGUAGUCUCUGCAACGGAAACAGUCAAACGGGCAGAAUAGACCGUUUCUGGACACACUAUUCACUCUGGGGCUGCUCGCUUAGUAACCGUUAUUCAUCAACCAAUAACCAUCCUGCAUAAUUCGAAAUAAUCAUGCCUACUUGAUUAUCAUUUUGACGUGGCAUUAUUAAAAAAAUGCUGCGAGACCAUUCUGGUCAUUUCAAUCAAAAGAUGAAAGAAGGAAUAGAAUAUGCUCACACAUAUUUCCAGCUGUGACCAAAUUCCAAAGUAUGCCCAGCCAGCCUAAUGCCUUGCUCCUCACAGUCACAUGGCCCCACUCACUAACCCCACUUAAACCCUCACUCCUUAACUCUAGUUACACCCUAACCCCUCCUCCUCC